rnacentral:lncRNA from 1 species
CAGGUUAGCAUGCUUGCACGCGCUCUUUCUCAGUGCUCACCGAGGAGGCCAAUUAGGCCUCAUUCUUCCCAUCUGAUCUCCACACUUUUCAGUUUGGCUUGAGAAGCCUGUAGUACUAGAAAAGAAUAAAUGCCUGGACAUCAAAUUUUGAGUAGGGACAAGCUGUCCGGUCAGACCUCCUUCAAGAUGGACAAGAUUCAUCAGACACCAUCAUUUCCUACUGUCUUCUCCUACAUGGACACUGAUACCAGGCAACUUUGGAAAAGCAUCUCUGUCUCCUUGAAGCAGCAUUAUAAAAGCAGCCUCCGUUCCUGGGUGUUGGAAAUGGUGAAAGCAGCAAGAAUCGAAGAGAGAGCCAUG